rnacentral:tRNA from 1 species
GAGAUGCUCCACUGAACUGCUAAAUCAACCCACCGGGCCUAAACACCCGGGCCUCUC